GGGCCGUGCGGCGUGCCUAUACAUGCAGUCGAGCGAAUGGAUUAAGAGCUUGCUCUUAUGAAGUUAGCGGCGGACGGGUGAGUAACACGUGGGUAACCUGCCCAUAAGACUGGGAUAACUCCGGGAAACCGGGGCUAAUACCGGAUAACAUUUUGAACCGCAUGGUUCGAAAUUGAAAGGCGGCUUCGGCUGUCACUUAUGGAUGGACCCGCGUCGCAUUAGCUAGUUGGUGAGGUAACGGCUCACCAAGGCAACGAUGCGUAGCCGACCUGAGAGGGUGAUCGGCCACACUGGGACUGAGACACGGCCCAGACUCCUACGGGAGGCAGCAGUAGGGAAUCUUCCGCAAUGGACGAAAGUCUGACGGAGCAACGCCGCGUGAGUGAUGAAGGCUUUCGGG
rnacentral:rRNA from 1 species